UAUAAUUGACCACGAAUCUGGUCUGACCACGAAUCUGGUCCACAUAUUUUAUAAAAACUAAUCCAAUUCUAACAAUUUAAAUCAACAGACAAUUGAAUCAACAGAACAGAAUCAUAAUCAUUAUCCGCAACAGAAAUAUUUCAAAUCAACUUUUGGGAAUCAACAUUUCAUAAACCACAGUCUGUCUUUUGAUAAAUCAUAGUUCAGGAAAUUCCUAACUAUUCAGUAUCCUCCAUUAUCGGCUAAGCAACUGAAUUUAGCCUGCUAAACCAGCAUGACAAUGGCGGGUUGAAUAAUCAAGAAGAUCCCAUUUCAUUCUAGGCUCUAACUAUCACUGAGCAACACAUGCUUCAAUGACGGUCUGAACUUCGAAUUAAUUUGUAGAACUGGUAUUUUUAAAAUCUUGAGGAUUGGAAAGAAUGGAUCAAAAUAGAAAGUUGAGAGUAAAUAGGUGUUUGGCUUUUCAAAACUUGGAAGAAGAAACAAUCAUGGGAUUCAAUCUCAGAAGUAAGAGUUUGUUUGAGAAGGGUCUUAGCAUAAACAAUAUCAUAAUCUUGACAGAAUAAUCAGAACAUGCAAUAUAUAUAUGAGGAAGGAUUUAGGAAUACUUGCCUUAAAUCCGAUUCCACACACAGCUUAAUCUUAUCUUUCCACUUUCACAAUCUAUAUAUGUAUAUCAUAGUCUCUAGACCAUCCCGG
rnacentral:lncRNA from 1 species